GAGGAGGCGCAGGCGGUUACAGAGAGAAGUCACACUGGGUACGCUCAGUUGCUCUUUGAUCUGAGGAAAGUCCGGGCUUCCGAAAGACCAAACUUGCUGGGUAACGCCCAGUGCGGGUGACCGUGAGGAUAGUGCCACAGAAACAUACCGCCUUGAGAACGCGGAAUGCAAAAGGGGGAAUUUAAUUCCUUCUUUCUUCUGCGUUUGAUCAGGUAAGGGUGCAAAGGUGCGGUAAGAGCGUACCAGCAACGUCGUGAGGCGUUGGCUCGGUAAACCCCGGUUGGAAGCAAGGUCGAAGGAGCGACGGUUGGUCUUUUACCGGCUCCGGGUAGGGUGGGGGCAACUCCAUACUUGCGAAAUCCGCUUGAGGUGUCUGGUAACAGGCAUCCCAGAUAGAUAACUGCCCUUCUCACUGCUGGUCGGUGAGAAGAACAGAACCCGGCUUAUGUCCGCCUCUUCCCGU
rnacentral:RNase_P_RNA from 1 species